AGNCGAGGGGCAUCAGGAACAUUUCUUGCUUUCUUUGCUGGCGACCGGCGCACGGGUGAGUAACACGUAUCCAACCUGCCCUUUACUCGGGGAUAGCCUUUCGAAAGAAAGAUUAAUACCCGAUGGCAUAAUGAUUCCGCAUGGUUUCAUUAUUAAAGGAUUCCGGUAAAGGAUGGGGAUGCGUUCCAUUAGGUUGUUGGUGAGGUAACGGCUCACCAAGCCUUCGAUGGAUAGGGGUUCUGAGAGGAAGGUCCCCCACAUUGGAACUGAGACACGGUCCAAACUCCUACGGGAGGCAGCAGUGAGGAAUAUUGGUCAAUGGGCGCUAGCCUGAACCAGCCAAGUAGCGUGAAGGAUGAAGGCUCUAUGGGUCGUAAACUUCUUUUAUAUAAGAAUAAAGUGCAGUAUGUAUACUGUUUUGUAUGUAUUAUAUGAAUAAGGAUCGGCUAACUCCGCGCCAGCAGCCGCGGUAAUACGGAGGAUCCGAGCGUUAUCCGGAUUUAUUGGGUUUAAAGGGAGCGUAGGUGGACUGGUAAGUCAGUUGUGAAAGUUUGCGGCUCAACCGUAAAAUUGCAGUUGAUACUGUCAGUCUUGAGUACAGUAGAGGUGGGCGGAAUUCGUGGUGUAGCGGUGAAAUGCUUAGAUAUCACGAAGAACUCCGAUUGCGAAGGCAGCUCACUGGACUGCAACUGACACUGAUGCUCGAAAGUGUGGGUAUCAAACAGGAUUAGAUACCCUGGUAGUCCACACAGUAAACGAUGAAUACUCGCUGUUUGCGAUAUACAGUAAGCGGCCAAGCGAAAGCAUUAAGUAUUCCACCUGGGGAGUACGCCGGCAACGGUGAAACUCAAAGGAAUUGACGGGGGCCCGCACAAGCGGAGGAACAUGUGGUUUAAUUCGAUGAUACGCGAGGAACCUUACCCGGGCUUAAAUUGCAGUGGAAUGAUGUGGAAACAUGUCAGUGAGCAAUCACCGUUGUGAAGGUGCUGCAUGGUUGUCGUCAGCUCGUGCCGUGAGGUGUCGGCUUAAGUGCCAUAACGAGCGCAACCCUUAUCUUUAGUUACUAACAGGUUAUGCUGAGGACUCUAGAGAGACUGCCGUCGUAAGAUGUGAGGAAGGUGGGGAUGACGUCAAAUCAGCACGGCCCUUACGUCCGGGGCUACACACGUGUUACAAUGGGGGGUACAGAAGGCAGCUAGCGGGUGACCGUAUGCUAAUCCCAAAAGCCUCUCUCAGUUCGGAUCGAAGUCUGCAACCCGACUUCGUGAAGCUGGAUUCGCUAGUAAUCGCGCAUCAGCCACGGCGCGGUGAAUACGUUCCCGGGCCUUGUACACACCGCCCGUCAAGCCAUGGGAGCCGGGGGUACCUGAAGUACGUAAACGCAAGGAUCGUCCUAGGGUAAAACUGGUGA
rnacentral:rRNA from 1 species